GCUGAUGGUACAGCCAACCAGUAUGAUGAAUUUCAGUCGAGCUGCGCCACCUUGACGGCAUUUAAUCAUUGAGAAAAGCCAGGAAACGUACUCAUUCUUUAUCCUCCUACAUUCCCACCCCGCCUUCCCUCCGUCCCUCUGACUCUCAUCUCUUCUGCGGUCUCCGGUGCGUCUGUGUGCUGUAGGCUACAGAGCGACGGUGUGCAUGUGUCGCGGAGCGGUGGGAGCGCUGCACUGUUCUGCGCACUGGUUCACCGAAUAACGGCGCUCGACAACCGGGUGGUGGUGGUGGUGGAGGGGAAGAGUGGAGUCGAACCAGGAGCAGGACCAGGAGAAGGACCGUGGCUCUUUACAGCCCGCUCUCCGAAAACAUGUCCGAGUUUUUUCUACUCGUAUUCCUAGCUCUAUUCUCGGGAUUAUUUCCGUGCGCCGAGCCCUCGACAGUGUCGGACGAGGAUAAAGCCAGCUUUUGUGACGAAGGGGAGUUUCACUGUCUUGACAAGGAAACCUGCAUCCCCGAGGCCUGGCUCUGUGAUGGCGAGCCGGACUGCCCCGAUGACUCGGACGAAACCGACCAAAUUUGAUGAAGCCCUUGCAUAUUCAUCUGAGGAAUUUGGCACAGCUCAUUAUCAUGGAUUAUGUAUUGAUAGAAAGAGGAAUUAGAUCAGCUUUGCCCUGCAAACAGAAGAUGGGACUGGAAUUUAUUCUGCCUUUUUAAGUGAUAGCAAAGGCUGCUGUGAAAACCAGUAAAAAAGAUCCUUCAUACAGGAUGAUGUGCUGAGAGAAGCCAUAAAGGAUUGAAAUAAAUGUGCAAAAAAUCAUGAUGUAA